rnacentral:tRNA from 1 species
GAAAUUAACUACCCCUCAAUGA